UUGGAUCCAAUGAAAAUAAUAAGGACACAGGAAAUGGUAAAUAUUUGGGUAAAUAUAAAAGGAUAUAUAUUUUGGUUUUCUGAAUUUCUUUAAAAAAUCAUGGGAUUGUUUAACGGAAAAUAAUAACACCGUAUUAUGGGGUUUGUAACAUAAGUAGAUGUACUAUGACAAAAAUCUCACAAUCCAACCCUACAAAGCAGUUUUGUAAAGGUGGCUGGAUCUG
rnacentral:lncRNA from 1 species